rnacentral:rRNA from 1 species
UUAAAUUGAAGAGUUUGAUCAUGGCUCAGAUUGAACGCUGGCGGCAGGCCUAACACAUGCAAGUCGAACGGUAACAGGAAGCAGCUUGGCUGCUUUGCUGACGAGUGGCGGACGGGUGAGUAAUGUCUGGGAAACUGCCUGAUGGAGGGGGAUAACUA